UGCCGGGUCGUCUAACGGUAGGACACGGGACUUUGGAUCCCGGUAUCCAGGUUCGAAUCCUGGCCCGGCAGCCA
rnacentral:tRNA from 1 species